UACGGAGGGGGCUAGCGUUGUUCGGAAUUACUGGGCGUAAAGCGCACGUAGGCGGACGGAGAAGUCAGAGGUGAAAGUCCCAGGCUCAACCUUGGAACUGCCUUGAAACUUUCUGUCUUGAGGUCGAGAGAGGUGAGUGGAAUUCCGAGUGUAGAGGUGAAAUUCGUAGAUAUUCGGAGGAACACCAGAGGCGAAGGCGGCACU
rnacentral:rRNA from 1 species